rnacentral:rRNA from 1 species
UCGAGGGGCAGCAUGGGGUGUAGCAAUACACUCUGAUGGCGACCGGCAAACGGGUGCGGAACACGUACGCAACUUACCCUGAACUGGGGGAUAGCCCACCGAAAGGUGGAUUAAUACCCCGUAACACUACCAGGUGGCAUCACCUGAUAGUUAAAGCUCCGGCGGUUUGGGAUGGGCGUGCGGCUGAUUAGGUAGUUGGUUGGGGUAAUGGCCCACCAAGCCUGCGAUCAGUAACUGGUGUGAGAGCACGACCAGUCACACGGGCACUGAGACACGGGCCCGACUCCUACGGGAGGCAGCAGUAAGGAAUAUUGGUCAAUGGCCGCAAGGCUGAACCAGCCAUGCCGCGUGAAGGAUGAAGGUCCUCUGGAUUGUAAACUUCUUUUAUGGGGGAAGAAACCUCUUGAUUCCUCAAGAGUUGACGGUACCCCAGGAAUAAGCACCGGCUAACUCCGUGCCAGCAGCCGCGGUAAUACGGAGGGUGCAAGCGUUAUCCGGAUUCACUGGGUUUAAAGGGUGCGUAGGAGGGUAGGUAAGUCAGUGGUGAAAUCUGUGGGCUCAACCCACAAACUGCCGUUGAUACUAUCUGUCUUGAAUUCCGUGGAGGUGAGCGGAAUAUGUCAUGUAGCGGUGAAAUGCUUAGAUAUGACAUAGAACACCAAUUGCGAAGGCAGCUCACUACACGACGAUUGACUCUGAGGCACGAAAGCGUGGGGAUCAAACAGGAUUAGAUACCCUGGUAGUCCACGCCCUAAACUAUGGAUACUCGACAUACGCGAUACACUGUGUGUGUCUGAGCGAAAGCAU